rnacentral:rRNA from 1 species
UACAGAGGUCUCAAGCGUUGUUCGGAUUCAUUGGGCGUAAAGGGUGCGUAGGUGGCGGGGUUAGUCAGGUGUGAAAUCUCGGGGCUCAACCCCGAAACUGCAUUCGAUACUGCGGUGCUUGAGGACUGGAGAGGAGACUGGAAUUCAUGGUGUAGCAGUGAAAUGCGUAGAGAUCAUGAGGAAGACCAGUGGCGAAGGCGGGUCUCUGGACAGUUCCUGACACUGAGACACGAAGGCCAGGGGAGCAAACGGG